AUCAAAACGUCAGGGCGGCAGCGAGAUGGUGCAGCCAGGUCAUGCAGGUAGUGGUGCGCCCCCGCCACCCCGCGGGACCGUUAGUCCCACGCGCUGGCCACGUGCGCGACCCCGUGGUAGCGUUGGAGGCACCACACAGCAUUUUAGGAAGGCGGGCCAUCAAAGGGUCUUCAUGAGAGAAACGUGGCUGCCUCCCCUCGGGUGCCAAUCUGUGGUGGAGGCUGGCUCCCCGCAGAGAACGACCACAAUCCGCUGGGUCUUGCACGGCUGGACGCCGCCUGGGCAAGGCUUUAGUGACCGUCUUUCCCUUCGUGACCUUGGCCUCUGUGACAGGCAGGCCCGGCAGCUGUCCCGACGUCCCGGCCAGAUGGAGCCUGUUUUCCUUCCUCUAAACUUCAUCAUGUCAGGUUCGAAGCAAACUGCGGAGAAGCCCCACGAGAAGGCCUGGACAUCUCCCUACCCUGGCUCCAAGGUGGAGCGAAGCUCAGUUCUCGAUGAGAAAGUGAGCUGACUGGCUGAGUGGUGAGAGUACACGCCCGUGGAAUACACUGUCAGCUCUGUCUUGGCCGGGCCCGUGUGGGCAGACCCCCAGGUGGGUGAAAGGAACUUCUCUCCUAAGUUUAACGAAAAGGAUGGGCAUGUGGAGAGAAGGAGCCAGCAUGGCCUGUAUCAGAUUGAGAAGGGAAGACCCAGAAAUCCUGCAAGUCGGACAGCAUUGGUUGGCAAAGGGCUUUUGGGGCGUUGGGGCCCCAAUCAUGCUGCAGAUCCCAUCUUAACCAGGUGGAAAAGGGAUAGCAAGGGAAGUGAAAUUACCCACCCUAUUUCUGGGGAAAAUAUGGUGCAAUUUGUAGCCAUCAAAAGAAAGGACUGUGGAGAAUGGGCAAUCCCAGGGCGGAUGGUGGAUCCAGGACAGAAAAUUAGUACUACUUGAAGAGAGAAUUUGGUGAGGAAGCCAUGAACUCUCUACAGAAAUCUAGGGGAGAAGUGCAGGAGUAGGAGAGACAAUUUCACAAACUCUUCAGGAACAUUUUGUUAUCUGUAACGGCUAUGGGGACGAUCCUUGGAACACAGAUAACUCAUGGAUAGAGACAGAGGCUGUGAACUACCAUGAUGAAACUGGUGAAAUAAUGGGCCACCCUCCACUGGAAGCUGGCGAUGAUGCCAAGAAAGUGAAAUGAGUGGACAUGAAUGAUAAACUCGAGCUUUAUGCCAGCCACUCCCAAUUUAUUCAGCUUGUGGCUGAGACACAAGGUGCCCACUAGAGUGAAGACAUGUAUGCUGAUUGCCAGGGAUAGUGGCUUGGAGUAUCAUAUGAGCCAAAGGCCUUCAAAUGAUCAAGAGUGGAUAAGAGGCAAACAGCACAGAAGACAGAGGGACACCCCUUUGGUGAUUAUUUCCAAAACUGUGCUGUAUAAAGGCUUUGUAUCAGGGAAUAAUAUUAGACAAAUAUGGGGAAAUGGGAUCACAGAAUUUUUGGCUUUCCUGUUAGAAGAAGAAUAUACUCAUAUGCUGUAUAUAUUGUAUACAUGGGUUAAACUAAGUUGUACAAUUACUGCUCUUUGGAGAACUGUAGGAAAAACAAUGACAUCUUCCUUAAUAACCAUAGGCUCUACUUUUCAUCCCGUUUGUAUUUGUCAGUUCUUCCUCCUGAUGUUUUAAUGUGGCUUAAUCUAAUGUAUAAUCUGACUUUUGAGUUAACAUUUAUUUUUUAAAU